rnacentral:rRNA from 1 species
UACAGAGGUCCCAAGCGUUGUUCGGAUUCAUUGGGCGUAAAGGGUGCGUAGGUGGCGGGGUAAGUCGGAUGUGAAAUCUCGGGGCUCAACCUCGAAACUGCAUUCGAUACUGCCUUGCUAGAGUACUGGAGAGGAGAUCGGAAUUUACGGUGUAGCAGUGAAAUGCGUAGAUAUCGUAAGGAAGACCAGUGGCGAAGGCGGAUCUCUGGACAGUUACUGACACUGAGGCACGAAGGCCAGGGGAGCAAACGGG